UCUGAAGGGAUGAAAACAGCACAACCAACCAGUAGCUUCUAACCUUGGCAGGUCAGGGAGUACAGUACUUGGAACAGUUCUACCUUUAGGAAUAAGAAAGCCUAUCUCUUCUUCAGUCUUUGAUGCUAGCAGUUCUUCUCCCUGUUGGCUCUGUCUUCCUCAAGCACUGGAAUUGUGUGCAGAAGAAUGAAGGUGCAGAGGAGGGCAACAAAGAUGAUCAGAGGGGCUAGAGCACCCUCCUUGCAAGGCCUUCUCUCGUGUGCAUCUGAGGCAUCUGCUAGUUCACGGCCUUUCUUUUAAGAGGGCAGGUUUUAUAAGCACACCAUCAUCCAUGGCUUCCUCCUCCUUCCCACUGAGAUGAUGAAGAAAAGCAUACUGUCCUGCAGUAAGAUGACCUAGAGCUGCAUGAAAUUGGCAUCUGACUAUCAGACGAUGAUCAGUCUUCACUAGACCUGCAGCACGUAUUGUCGCACUCAAAAUCCUGGGGCCUGGUUGACAGAAAAGAAUGGCAGCUACACUCCACAUCUUCAGAAAAAGUCCAUCUGAAUUUUGAAAACAGUAGUCAUAAAACCAAUAAAACUGGGGCCUCUUCUUCACCCAUUCUCCCCUGCUUACCCAUGCAGCUUUUGUUUCACAGGAGCUUUUGCUUCAGAAUCUGAUGAACUCGUGUUUCUGGUUUUUUAGAUAGUAGCUGGAGGCUCUCUGGCUUUAGUUUCCACAGCAGAAGCAGGGUUGGUGUUACAGCACCCACAAUCCCAUUCUUGUUCAUCAUGCUUGUUCACCAGGAAGGUUGUUUCUGGAUCUCGAACCUGGACCUCAAUAAAAAUAGCCACCUGAACGUGAAAAUGUUCAAGAAAGAAAAGCAUUAAGAAGAAUGGGGCACCUCACAUAUGGCUACAUUCGUUUGGGGACUGGCAACAUCAUUGUUGCAUCAUUGUGUCUGUGAGCCUUUGGUUGAACCACCUGUUUGAUUUGCUCAUAUACAUGGCUUUGUGAAGCCAGACUCACACAUUGUGUAUGUGUAUGAAUGUAU